rnacentral:lncRNA from 1 species
CAGUCUUGUGAAUCAAUAGCCUGAAAGACAACAUAGUAAACUGUUCCUGACUGCUCUUAGGAGCUGGGUAUCAGUUUCUGUAUGAGAUGAGAAAUAAUUCUUUAAUGGAAGGCAGCAGGCACCUGUAAAUGCUAUGAUAAGUGCUGCUUGAUGCUACCAUUUAGGAGGGGAAGGAAGUGUAUUCCUUUAUCUUAGGCUCAGGAUUCAGCUGAGAGGCAGGAGCUCUCAGUGUUUUUGUCUUAGUUCAAAUCAGAGCAGAGCUAGCUGAAGCUUUCCUUUCCAGUUCUACUUAAAGGGAGAGCCAACAGAACAUAGUCUCAGUUGAAAACAGAAUCUUCUUUGCUCUCAGAAAUGCUUGGUAAGAAGGUUAAGACUUUAGUGUUAUCUUUGGGGGUCUUAAUGUAAGACCUUCCUCUUUGAUAACACUACUGGCAAAUUAGUAUACUUAGUGAGACAGAUUUUAGGCUUAAAAACUAGUCUGCGUUCAGGGUAAACUUAACCCCAAUGAUUAUAAUUAGCUGGUAUAAGCAUCCUCUAUAGCCUGCCCUUUCCCCAGUUUCUGUGUGUCUGUGACAUGUGAACUCCUUAAGGCAAGGGCCAGGUCUUUGUCUGGAAGAAAGACCCCAUUGUGACUAUUGCUAUGAACGAACAAGGGUGUUGUUUUGUAAUAAUCACAGCUCCUUCACAGCUUUUUACGCACACAGAACUUUUAGCAAGGAUAGUGCAAAGGAAGUGCUGGAAAUGAACUAGUCUGAAAAGGUGGUGCCUAUGUCAGAUUUGAAAACACUAGUUGCAGAAUAGCAAUGGUACUGUGCUUGGAGGUAAUGGCACAGAAACUUUCUCAGCUGCCACUCUGUCUUCUGUGCAAUCACAGAGUGCAUGACUUUUUCAUAGCUAUUACGUUAAGCUAAACAAAGAGACAUUUGUUUCUCAACAAGGUUUGAAAAAUAAGGAAGAAGAAAUCGUCACCACAGCAGCUGUCAAAAUGUGGAUUCUCAAUGUUGAUAACAUGCUGAGUAUGCAGUAAAGCUUUUGUUCUUGGCAUGCCCAUUCAUACAGAUGAGAGAAGCUUAAAGAUGUGACUGUUUUUCAGUCCACAUAGCUGACUUUAAUCAGAACAUUUAGCCUUGUUCUUCCUCCUUUCAAGGUUAUGAAAAAACUUGAUCUCCCAUUGCAUGCCACAUAACAUUGUUAUAGUCUUCCUGUCAGAUAUACACAAUCCUGGUGUCAUGUUUUUCUGAGAUUUAGACUGCAAUAUUUUCUCUGACUGCAAUGUAGGAAUGAGAAAAUCUAAAUUUGUUGG